rnacentral:rRNA from 1 species
UACAGAGGUCCCAAGCGUUGUUCGGAUUCACUGGGCGUAAAGGGUGCGUAGGCGGUCGGGUAAGUCUGACGUGAAAUCUUCAAGCUCAACUUGGAAACUGCGUCCGAUACUAUUCGGCUAGAGGAAUGGAGGGGAGACUGGAAUACUUGGUGUAGCAGUGAAAUGCGUAGAUAUCAAGUGGAACACCAGUGGCGAAGGCGAGUCCCUGGACAACUCCUGACACUGAGGCACGAAAGCUAGGGGAGCAAACAGG